CACGGACCGCACGAACGUUAUUCGGUAUCACUGGGCUUAAAGGGUGCGUAGGCGGCUUUGCAAGUUGGGUGUGAAAGCCCUCGGCUCAACCGAGGAAUUGCGCUCAAUACUGCCGAGCUCGAGAGAGACAGAGGUAAGCGGAACUGAUGGUGGAGCGGUGAAAUGCGUUGAUAUCAUCAGGAACACCGGUGGCGAAGGCGGCUUACUGGGUCUUUUCUGACGCUGAGGCACGAAAGCCAGGGGAGCGAAC
rnacentral:rRNA from 2 species